rnacentral:rRNA from 1 species
AUGCUCGUCCGCGUCGACCCCGGUCCCGUGGUGACCCUCCUCUGCCACCAGCGUCGCUGCUCCUGCUUCAUUCCGGUGAGGCUCCGCCGGGAUCCGUUCGCAUCCACGCCGCCCGCGUCGCCAAGCCCCGGCCGCAGCCAUCGAUUCCUGUCGUUCCCGAGUCCCCUGCUUCGCCCCUGCAUCCUCUGCUUCGAGCAAGAGGACGAGCGCGCCGCCCCUGCGUUGACCCGCACACUGCCUCGCUUGACAGUCCUCCCCAUCUCGCUGAGUCCAGAUGCGCGCCUAAGCAGCCCAAGCCGGCCUGCUCCUCCAUGCCCUCGCGGGCCGUCUCCAUCGACUGGGCUGAGGCCCAUGCUUUGGUUUCUUUCCGGAGUUGUGAGGAUUCGUUCCACUACGUCCGUUUGUCUUCUUCAUGGACUCGUUCUUCUUCCUUGCGGGAUCUCAGUUGCAGGUGCCGAUGAUACCAGUGCAGGUGGCGCAACCACGCUCAAGUGGGAGCUCGAUGAAGAUCUUAGUCGUUGUUUUUUGUCUUUUCUGGAUGAUCAGUAG